UACCAGGCUGUAACUGCCCGUGGUCA
rnacentral:piRNA from 1 species